AAACAACGAAUCGUACACGAUUAAUCCACAGAAUAGAAAAUAUACUUUACUCCUUUCCCCGGGUGUAAAUAACCGGGCUGAAUUAGUACCCUCGCCCCGGGCUAACGUGCGCCCGGAACGGCGCUGGCUCGGGGACAAACUAAUACCAUGAUAUAUGUCGGGAAAUUACUAAUAAUCAAUAAAACUCUUUCUCGAGAGGUAUGUGGAAUUCCCUCGGACUUCGCCCACGUAAAUUUCGCAAACUUUCCGUGGCAUUCCAGGACAUUUACAGUAAUUACUACUAACUUCCUGAAAAGGGCGAAAAAGGGAUUUAAAAUACGAAAUCGUACUACUACCGAUUUUAGAGCAAAAUAUUCUGUUAUGCUUGGUCAGCUUGGAUGCAUGCAUAAUUUAUUGUAAUUUAAUAAGAACAAUUAACAUGGAAAUACAAAAUUUUAAAUAUAUUGUCC